rnacentral:hammerhead_ribozyme from 1 species
AUCCGGCGGACGAGUUACAAAUAGGACGAAACGCGCGUCUUGGAU